rnacentral:tRNA from 1 species
UAGGGAGACCUACCCAUUGAAGAAUCGAAAGCCGCAGGCGAAUAGAGAAUCAACUGGUCUACUCUAGGUCGGUGACGUGAGAUUGUGAAGUCUUUCAAACUAAUAUUUGGUUCGCGAGAGGGCUAUUAGCUCAGGUGGUUAGAGCGCACCCCUGAUAAGGGUGAGGUCCCUGGUUCGAGUCCAGGAUGGCCCACCUGAAUGGGGGUUUAGCUCAGCUGGUAGAGCGCCUGCUUUGCAAGCAGGAUGUCAGCGGUUCGAGUCCGCUAACCUCCACAUUAAGGAGAAACUAGCAACUAGGGAAGACCUAGACUGCUGGUGGAAACCAGCCAGAACCUUGAAAACUGCAUAUAGAUAGAUAAGAGAGCAGAAACUGAAAUCGAAAGAUAGAAGUGGAAGUAAGUGAAGAAUCAAGU